UCUAACAUAGAGGAAAUUAGAGAAUUGCAGUCAGGUGGCUGCCUUUUGCUUGUAUUUAGUAGCCUUUCCAGGAAGGUGGGUUGAGGUUUGUUGGCAGUGAGUUUGUAGGCAUGUAUCCAGCAGAGCUGUAGCAGUUUCUUGGAUUUGAGGAUGAGGACUUUCAGGACCAUCUCCAGAAAGAUAUUGUGAAUUUCUCACCUUAUCUACUGCCUGCUUCAGUGUCACCAGGGAAGAAAGUGUUGUUCAACAUGAGUAAAUGUGACAGCAUCUGGAUCUAUAGUUAAGUCAAACCCACUCUGAAGUGAGAAGUGAAGAAGCUCAACGCUGCUCUGUGAGUCACUGGCAAAAUCAGGACAAAACCAAGAAUCCCUCGUUACCAGCUCUGCAAUAUAAACUCUGUUGUCCCAACCUUUCAUUAACACAUUGAUAGCGCUUAGAGAUUCAGUCUGUUUUUCUCAGGAUAAACUUUCACCUAUCUUUGCAUUAGGCAGGAAUUCCUUGCCUCUCCUUGCUCUUUGUUUAUUUUCUCUGCUCCCAUAAACACCAGGAGUGCCGGGCUCCAACUGCCUGGUGUGGGUAUGAAACUGCAAAUGCUGGCAAAUGCCAAAUGUUUGUUGUCUACUGGGCUGCCCUGAGCCUCUCACCUGGGUAGGCAUCCCCCUACAGCUCUUCCAGUUGUUUUGUGGGAUGCUGCAACCCAAUAUGAGCAUAUUAGAAUGCUGUGAGUCAGGCCGCCUAGAAAAGUCAUGCAUGACUUAAAAUCACAAGGAUGAUCAAAAACAAUAAAACGCAUGUUUUCUAUUUGCCUUUGGGCUUUCUAAAGUUAAGGCAGUUAAGGCAUGCCCACGAAGGCUAGAAACUCAAAGCACCUAUUUUUCACGAGCUACACGCAAUGCCUUUUUUCUUCUUUCUUACUUUUUUUUAAUUUUUUACUGAAACACUUACAGUAAAAUGACCAGAAUGAUCAACACUGAUUCUGUUGCUGAAGGCACUCAGUGAAACCAAGUGAAUGAUUUACCUUUUUCAUCCAAAAUGUGGGGUUUGAUUUUUCACAACAAAAUAACUCCAUGUUUGAAUAUAUAGGACUACUUUAAGAAAACAUAGAUAGCUUUUGCUAAGACUUUGUUUUUUAGAAUGUGUCAGUGGGUUGGUGUUGGACAAAAGUCACAAUAGCGCUGGUUGUUCCCUGAGUCUGUGCCUUCAGCAUGUGGCUGAAUGUACCAUGGGUUUGGCUUUGGCUUGGCAUGUUUCUUUUUGCCUUCACUUGGCUUGGUGUGAUUAGGUUGAUUGCAUUUAAGAAUCACAGAAUGGUUUGGGUUGGAAGGGAUCUUUAAGAUCAUCUAUUUCCAACCCCCCUGCUGUAGGCAGGGACACCUCCCACUAGACCAGGUUCUUAAUGUUCUUCUUCCAAGCUUUCUCUAAUUUUUCUUCCCUUGAUGAAAUCUGAGCCUUAUAGCAAGAUGCUAGAAAGGUUGAGCUUGGCAUACCUCACCAUUCAGACUAAUUAACGGGCUGGCAGCCAUGCUCUUGGACAAACAAGAUGCUGCAAAAUGAGUGUGCAGCUCAGCCAGGUGGGUGAAAGACUCCAUCCAAGUCUCCAAGAGUAGUAAUUCAUUCCCUUGGGAACUUAAUGCUGUCUCAAACAUCACCACUCUGAGCUUCCUGUGCUGGAUGCAGUCCCUAGAGUUUUGAGCUCUUCAUAUCCAGAAAUGAAAUGGUAUCUGCCAAGACGUGCAGUCCUUCCCCUGGAGGAAAAAAAAAAAAAAUGGGAAAACAAACUACAUGUGAUGGAUGUUAGUCAUGUUGCUUAUAGCACUCUUGGCACAGUCUCCACCUGGGACUCCUCUACUUACAUCCAGGAUGUACAUUUAGGAUGAGUCAGACAUCGUGUGUGUGUGUGUGUGUGUGUGUGUGUGUGUGUGUGUAUGUAUGAGCCGAGCAUAUGCAGAACAUAGUGGGGACUUCUUGAUGUCCCGGCCUGCUUUUACUUCCCUCUAUGCUGCAUGAUGCCUGUAAAUCUUAGGCAAAGAGUCCUCUUUCUCUGAUGCAACGUUGGUGGAUGGAAAAACAGUGUACUUAUGGGGAACUUCAUGUAUGGAAACAUAACUUCAUUUGUGAAUGGUGCCAAAGUGUGCAGUUCUACUGCAGGACGUACGGCGUGGUGGUGAUUUUCUGGCAUCUGUGUUCUGGAGUUGUUAUCACUCAAGAAUUUCAACCAGACAAAGUUUCCAGUCUCCAUGUUUAUAAAAUAAGGCUGAUAACGGAUGAUUUCCCAGCAUAUCAAAAAGUGUAGACAAAUAAGAACAUAUUGAACCUAUAUUUUGGAAACCAAUUGUGUGGCUUUGAACAUGUGUUGGCAACUUCAUAAUUUUCCCUUAAUAGUUAUGUCUAUGCUUGUGCAGUUUGGCUUGCAAUACCUUCUGUAACAAAGAAAUCCAUGUAUUUUGUAUAUAUUAAACUUUAUUU